rnacentral:rRNA from 1 species
UACGUAGGGAGCGAGCGUUGUCCGGAUUCAUUGGGCGUAAAGAGCUCGUAGGCGGUUCGGUAAGUCGGGGGUGAAAUCUCCGUGCUCAACACGGAGCGGCCACCUGAUACUGCCGUGACUCGAGUCCGGUAGGGGAGUGUGGAAUUCCCGGUGUAGCGGUGAAAUGCGCAGAUAUCGGGAGGAACACCGAUGGCGAAGGCAAUCCCCUGGACCUGUACUGACGCUCAUGCACGAAAGCGUGGGGAGCAAACAGG